rnacentral:lncRNA from 1 species
AUCGCAGGAACUCACCAGCUAGGACCGUCCUUACGGGUUUACUCCAACCCGGAUGCCAAACUCCAGAGCGCAUCGCCCGAGGGGGAGCGACCGCCCUCGAGCACGGAACUCAUAGCAAGUAUGAUCAUAUCCUUAACUCAAAGGAUUUAUAAGUUCAAUCUUGACUUUACACUAGCUCUAGUGUCCUUUACAUCACUUUAUGUUGCAAACUCAUGCAAUCACAUUCUUUAUUUUUCCUUUACUUUUGCCAUCUUUAGCAUUCUUGUUCUUUACAUUUCUCGUUCUUAUUGCCCCACUUUACUUUAACUUUACACAUUGUCAUUACCAUCAUUCUUUACAUCACUUUGGUUCUUUGGCUCACACUAACUCUA